UUCCAACGAAGACAAUCUGGUGCACAAGGAUGAUGUUCGAUACUAGAGCGGUUAUCUUUGGAUGAAGUAUUUGAACAACUGAGAACAUCACUAGCAAGACUUCUUCUGAAGAAGCUGAAGUUCGAUUGAAGAUAUUUGGCCCUAACAAACUUGAAGAAAAGACAGUAAACAUCCAGUCUCCCUUCUAGUUAAGCUUAAAAGUAUGAGGACUGAGAGUUACAGGCAUUUGAGUGUUAAUAUUUGCACUCAAUAUUGGAGGGGAAUUGAAAUGAACUCAACUACUGUGCUUGAAUUGGAUGUGGGGAGAUUAGGGCUUCCAAGGGGUACUCUACCAAAUGCUCAAUGCAUCAAUUGAGGUUCUCAUAAUUGCUCAAGUCCACUUGAAGGCAUAUUCUCUCAACAAUGGUGGCGUUGUCACACUCUUUUCCAAAUUUGGUCUCUUCCGUCGUAGUUAACACCACUAUGUAGUCUCUACUGCUCUUUAUUAAGUUUUGAAUGUUCAGUGAUAAAGUUCAACAAAAUAAUCAAAAGAAGGUGGCUUAUGUAGAAAUUAUAACUAGCUGGUCAUUGCUCAAUGGGUCUAUUCUUCUUCUUAAGAAUGUUGCCCAUGGCUUUUUCAGUUUUCAAAUGAACAAACAUUUGUAUUUCAUUUGAGUUGUUA